rnacentral:rRNA from 1 species
GACGAACGCUGGCGGCGUGCUUAACACAUGCAAGUCGAACGGUGAAGCACCUUCCUUUUGGUGGGUGUGGAUGAGUGGCGAACGGGUGAGUAACACGUGAGUAACCUGCCCCCUUCUUCUGGAUAACCGCAUGAAAGUGUGGCUAAUACGGGAUAUUCUGCGCCUGCUGCAUGGUGGGUGUGGGAAAGAUGCGCCUUUGGGUGUUUUUGGUGGGGGAUGGGCUCGCGGCCUAUCAGCUUGUUGGUGGGGUGAUGGCCUACCAAGGCGGUGACGGGUAGCCGGCCUGAGAGGGUGGACGGUCACACUGGGACUGAGACACGGCCCAGACUCCUACGGGAGGCAGCAGUGGGGAAUAUUGCACAAUGGGCGCAAGCCUGAUGCAGCGACGCCGCGUGAGGGAUGGAGGCCUUCGGGUUGUAAACCUCUUUCGCCAGUGAAGCAGGCCUGUCCCUUGUGGGAGGGUGACGGAGCUGGAUAA